ensembl:lncRNA
GCCUUCUUUUCCCUUGGAAACGGCCUCAGAGAUUCCGGAAGGUGCUUCCUUACUUCUGAGCCACCUGCGUGGGAGGAAGCUGAGGACGUGAAGCUCCACCUCAGAUCAUCAGGGAUUAGAUCCCAGAGGUUGGGAACCCCUGUCCUAGAGAACCUGUCUGCAAAGCCUAAAAUAUUUGCCAGCUGGCCCUUUACAGAGAAAGUUUGUGGAUACCUGCUUGGAUGCACAGUGCUUGGUUUGGAGCGUGGCGACAGACGGGCUGAGCUGAGAACUGGAGCUGUCGGAAGGACGGGCACACUCUCCCAGGAAUCUGAAAGAGACUCAGGAUAUCUUAACUCUUCGAGGAAGCGGGCUUCUUAACUUGGAGUCCCUGUGGGGGUCACAGGUUACCGCAUGGUUGAUGAAGGGAUGCAAGGCUCUAGCUACAAGCCAGCUGGCAUGGUGGGGCGGGAAGAGCACUGCUCUGCGGUCUGUAAUGAAUGACUAGGUCCAGGCGCGACCCACCAGUGGCUGCCAACAUCACAAGAAGAGAUGAGACAUCAUACACCUCCUGAUGGAAGAAACACAGGUGACAAGAGGAGCCUGUGCAAUGACCCCCAGGGGAUGUAAUCAAUAAAUUCAGACUGUGGGCAGUGCUGUAGAAUAAAUGGCUGUUUCCUUAACAAAAACUUCCCAGGAAAAGAAAAGAGAGGUGGAGAAUCUAUAAAUUAAGAGAUUUAUUAAGGAACAUAUCGACAAUGGCAAUGUAUACACCUUAUUUGCAUCCUGAUUCAAAC